CCAAGCCCUGCCCCUUCCGUGCCAUCCCUCAGGUUCUGCAGGGCACUGGCCACUUCUGCACAGCCAGGCCUUCCCACCCUACCCCCGAGAUUCACACAGCAGGGUCCACUCCCUCCCAGGCUUGGCUUCCCCAGGCUGAGGGCUGGGCAUUGGCACCCUUCCACAGACCACAUGAGUCAGCUCCCUCCCCACCCAACAAGGCCAGUGCUGGCUCUGUCUGAGGUCCCUUUGUUCAGGUCUCUUCUGAAGAAAGGCACCAGAGGCUCCAGCUCUGGCCAUAAUGCCCCAGAUGAAGCUUGACAGGAGAACUGGACACAACAGGCCAGGUUUCCCUAGGAUCACCAGCUGUCAUGGACUGAUUUGUGUCUCUCCAAAUUCAUAUGUUGAAUACUUAACCUGCCAUGCGAUUGUGAUUGGAGAUAAUUCCUUUAGGGAAGCAAUGAAGGUUAAAUGAGGUCAUAGGUGGGAGCUUAAUCCAAUGGGACUGGGGUCCCUACAAGAAGAGGAAGACACCAGAGCUCUCUGUCUCCACACACAGAGAAAAGAGGCUGUAUGAGGACACAAGAGAAGGUAAUAGCUGUCUACAAACCAAGAAGAGAAGCCUCUCCAGAAAAUGAACCCUGCUGGAACUUGGUCUUGGACUUUCCAGCCUCCAGAACUGGGAGAAAAUAAAGUUCAAAAUAAAGUUCUGUUGUGUAAGCCCCCGAGUCCAUGGUAUUUUGUUAUGGCAGCCCUAGCAGACUAAUAACACCUGCUAAUUAAACUGCUUGUUCUCCACUUGUUGUCUCAGGGUCUGUUCCUAGGGAACCUGGACUCAGACAGAUGCUCUGCUUAAUUAGACCCCAGGGAAAUGUAAAUGAAAACCACGUGUGAUGCCAUGUCACAAGUACUAGGAUAACCAGAAGGAAAUCUGACCACAUCGGAUGCUGGUGAGGUUGGGAAGCUGUCAUAUUUAGCUGACGGAGGUGUGAGUCGGCAAACCACUUUGG
rnacentral:lncRNA from 1 species